rnacentral:rRNA from 1 species
GCUCAGAUUGAACGCUGGCGGCAGGCCUAACACAUGCAAGUCGAGCGGCAUCGGGAAGGUAGCUUGCUAUCUUUGCCGGCGAGCGGCGGACGGGUGAGUAAAGUCUGGGGAUCUGCCUGAUGGAGGGGGAUAACUACUGGAAACGGUAGCUAAUACCGCAUGAUGUUACGCGACCAAAGCGGGGGACCUCCGGGCCUCGCGCCAUCAGAUGAACCCAGAUGGGAUUAGCUAGUAGGAGAGGUAAUGGCUCCCCUAGGCGACGAUCCCUAGCUGGUCUGAGAGGAUAACCAGCCACACUGGAACUGAGAGACGGUCCAGACUCCUACGGGAGGCAGCAGUGGGGAAUAUUGCACAAUGGGCGCAAGCCUGAUGCAGCCAUGCCGCGUGUGUGAAGAAGGCC